AAUCAACGCUGGCGGCGCGCUUAACACAUGCAAGUCGAGCGAGAAAGGGGAGCAAUCCCUGAGUACAGCGGCGCACGGGUGAGUAACACGUGGAUAAUCUACCUUGAAGUGGGGAAUAACUCUGGGAAACCGGAGCUAAGACCGCAUACGCCUGCGAAGGGAAAGCGAGCAAUCGCGCUUUAAGAGGAGUCCGCGGCCGAUUAGCUAGUUGGUGAGGUAAAGGCUCACCAAGGCGGGGAUCGGUAGCCGGCCUGAGAGGGCACACGGCCACACUGGCACUGAAACACGGGCCAGACUCCUACGGGAGGCAGCAGUGGGGAAUCUUGCACAAUGGAGGCAACUCUGAUGCAGCGACGCCGCGUGAGCGAUGAAGCCCUUCGGGGUGUAAA
rnacentral:rRNA from 1 species